GAUGAACGCUAGCGGCAGGCCUAAUACAUGCAAGUCGAACGGUGUCUUCGGACAUAGUGGCGCACGGGUGCGUAACACGUAUGCAACCUACCUUACAUUGGGGGAUAGCCUUUCGAAAGGGAGAUUAAUACCGCAUAAGACAGUAGCUGGGCAUCCAGCAGCUGUUAAAGAUUUAUCGAUGUAAGCUGGGCAUGCGUCCAAUUAGCUAGUUGGUGAGGUAACGGCUCACCAAGGCAAUGAUUGGUAGGGGAACUGAGAGGUCAAUCCCCCACACUGGCACUGAGAUACGGGCCAGACUCCUACGGGAGGCAGCAGUAGGGAAUAUUGGGCAAUGGACGCAAGUCUGACCCAGCCAUGCCGCGUGCAGGAUGAAGGCGUUAUGCGUUGUAAACUGCUUUUAUACAGGAAGAAACGACUCUUGCGAGAGGCAUUGACGGUACUGUAUGAAUAUGCACCGGCUAACUCCGUGCCAGCAGCCGCCGUAAGAC
rnacentral:rRNA from 1 species